CGGGGCUGCACCUCUCCCGUCCGGAGCCGCUGGUGAACUUUGCGGCAUACUGAAAAAGAAGAACAACCCAGAAAUCUAGCUUGCAGUCUUGACCACUGACCUUCAUGGGGAGACAAAAGAAAAGAAAGCACUGAAAGAGGGGCAUCCGGAAGAAAGAGGAGCAUCCAGUAUGUGAAGAAUGUAAUCUAAUCCUUGAAAGAAGAGUCUGCCUUCAGUGACUCUGCGGAGAAAGAGGACAAAUUUUAUUAGUCCUUUCCCCGGGGUGAGCUGUGGUUUCUACAGUCUGUCAUGUAAAAAAUUACUAGAAAAACUAGAAUAACUUUUUUUUCCUUCCCCACCCACCCCCAGUGUAGCUUGCCAGCAGUGCUGCAAUAAGAGAAAACUCUCAUAACUCCCAUUACAACAUGGGUACUUCUGGAAAUCCAACAGAGCCAUUGAAAAACAUUUCAAUGUUUUCAACUCCCUUACUCCGCCCCCACCCACCCCCAAUCUCAUUUCUGAACAGCUGGAUAGAAUAAAAUAUUUCCUUAAAGGCUGCAAAGAAAACUUAAUAAUUCUCAAUGAAUGUGCUCAAAUUAGGCACAUUCUGUGUGAGCUCACCAAGCAAGUGCAGGACAACCAGGGGAUCCGGCCCAGCCAGCAUGGCUUCAUGAAAGGCAGGUCCUGCCUGACCAACUUGAUCUCCUUCUAUGACCAGUGGAUGAGGGAAAGGCUGUGGAUGUUGUCUACCUGGAGGACUGGUGAGGCCACACCUUGAAUAUUGUGUUCAGUUUUGGGCCUCUCACUGCGAGAAGGACAUUGACUUGCUGCGGUGUUUCCAGAGAAGGGCAACGAAGCUUGUGAAGGGUUUAGAGAGCAGGUCUUAUAUGGAGAAUUUGAGGGAACUGGGGUUGAUUGGCCUGGAGGAGGCUGAGGGGAGACCUUAUUGAUCUCUACAACUACCUGAAAGGAGGUUGUAGUGAGGUGGGUGUUGGUCUCUUCUCCCAAGUUACUAGUGAGAGGAUGAGAGGAAAUGGCCUCAAGUUGUGUCAGGGGUGGUUUGGAUGGGAUACUAGGAAAAAUUUCUUUACUGAAAGAGUGGUCAGGCAUUGGAACAGGCUGCCCAGAGAGGUGGUGGAGUCACCGUCCCUGGAGGUGUUCGAAAAAUGCGUAGAUGUUGCACUUCAGAGUAUGGUUUAGGAGGCAUGGUAGUGUUGAUUUGACAG